AUGGAAAUCGGCUCGGUGCCUUCCCAGGACGAAGAUGCGGCGGCCGCCACGCCGCGGGAGGCCACCCUGGGCCGCCACCUCGCGCGCCGCCUGGCCGAGGUGGGCGCACGCGACGUCUUCGCCGUGCCGGGGGACUUCAACCUGACGCUCCUCGACGAGCUCGAGGCCGAGCAGCCGUCCGGCGGCGGGGUGCGGCUCGUCGGGUGCUGCAACGAGCUGAACGCCGCCUACGCCGCCGACGGCUACGCCCGCGCGCGCGCAGGCGGCGUCGGCGCCUGCGUGGUCACCUUCACCGUCGGAGCGCUCAGCGCCAUCAACGCCGUCGCCGGCGCUUUCAGCGAGAACCUCCCCGUCGUCUGCAUCUCCGGGGGCCCCAACAGCAACGACUACGGCAGCAACCGGAUCCUGCACCACACCAUCGGCCUCCCCGAUUUCUCGCAGGAGCUCCGGUGCUUCCAGAACGUCACCUGCUACCAGGCAGUGGUGAACAACUUGGAGGAUGCACAUGAACAGAUUGACACUGCCAUCUCCACUGCACUGAAGGAGAGCAAACCUGUUUACAUCAGCAUCUGCUGCGACCUCCCUUCAAUCCCUCAUCCCACAUUUGGCCACCAUCCUGUCCCUUUCUUUCUCUCCCCAAGACUGUCAAACCAGAUGAGCCUGGAAGCAGCGGUGGAAGCCGCUGCGGCUUUCUUGAACAAAUCGGUCAAGCCGGUCCUUAUUGGCGGAGCAAAGAUGAGGGUGGCCAAAGCGCGCAAAGCCUUCGUAGAGCUGGCCGAUGCAUGCGGUUAUCCGUUCGCGGUGAUGCCUUCUGCCAAGGGGCUUGUGCCAGAGCACCACCCUAGAUUCAUCGGCACAUACUGGGGUAUUGUGAGCACUCCAUUCUGUGGAGAGAUUGUGGAGUCAGCUGAUGCCUAUUUGUUUGCUGGCCCGAUGUUUAACGACCACACCUCGGUUGGAUACUCACUUCUACUCAACAAGGAGAAGGCCAUCAUUGUCCAGCCGGAUCGAGUCGUGAUUGGGAAUGGGCCUGCAUUUGGGUGUGUUCUGAUGAAGGACUUCCUGCGUGCACUUGCUACCCGGCUCAAGAAGAACACGGCUGCGUGCGAGAUCCAUAGCCGGAUUUUUGUGCCUGAGGGCGAACCCCGUCCCUCUGAGCCUGGAGAGCCUUUGAGAGUGAAUGUAUUUUUCAAGCAUAUUCAGAAAAUGUUGUCUGGCAACUCGGCUGUUAUAGCAGAGACUGGGGACUCAUGGUUUAACUGCCAGAAGCUAAAACUACCAGAAGGCUGUGGGUAUGAAUGCCAGCUGCAAUAUGGAUCAAUUGGCUGGUCGGUCGGGGCUACUCUGGGAUAUGCGCAGGCUUCUAAGGAUAAGCGAGUCAUUUCCCUCAUUGGAGAUGGCAGCUUUCAGGUGACGGCACAGGAAGUGUCGACGAUGCUCCGGUGGGGACAGAACAACAUUAUCUUUCUCAUAAACAAUGGGGGCUACACCAUCGAGGUGAAGAUCCAUGACGGUCCUUACAACGUCAUCAAGAACUGGAACUACACCAGCUUGGUGGAAGCAUUCCAUAAUGGCGAGGGCAAAUGCUAUACUGCAAAGGUUCGAACGGAGGAGGAACUGGAGGAAGCAAUUGAGGCAUCCCUAGGACCUCACAAGGACAGCCUGUGCUUUAUAGAGGUAAUUGUGCACAAGGAUGACACCAGUAAGGAGCUCCUUGUGUGGGGAGCUAGGCUUUUCGCCGCAAAUAACCGCCCGCCGAAUCCUCAGUGA
rnacentral:rRNA from 1 species